rnacentral:rRNA from 1 species
CUUGGUCAUUUAGAGGAAGUAAAAGUCGUAACAAGGUUUCCGUAGGUGAACCUGCGGAAGGAUCAUUAAAGAAACUUCGCCCCCGGGCGGAGUCCUUCUUAACCCGUGUCUACCUUACCUUUUGUUGCUUUGGCAGGCCGCCUUCGGGCGUCGGCUUCGGCUGAUAGUGCUUGCCAGAGGACCCAACUCUUUUGUUUAGUGAUGUCUGAGUACUAUAUAAUAGUUAAAACUUUCAACAACGGAUCUCUUGGUUCUGGCAUCGAUGAAGAACGCAGCGAAAUGCGAUAAGUAAUGUGAAUUGCAGAAUUCAGUGAAUCAUCGAAUCUUUGAACGCACAUUGCGCCCCUUGGUAUUCCGAGGGGCAUGCCUGUUCGAGCGUCAUUUGACCACUCAAGCCUAGCUUGGUAUUGGGGUACGCGGUUUCGCGGCCCCUAAAAUCAGUGGCGGUGCCGUCUGGCUUCAAGCGUAGUAAUUUUCUCGCUACGGAGUCCGGGCGGUUGCUUGCCAAAAACCCUAUUUUUACAAGGUUGACCUCGGAUCAGGUAGGGAUACCCGCUGAACUUAAGCAUAUCAAUAAGCGGAGGAAAAGAAACCAACAGGGAUUGCCUCAGUAACGGCGAGUGAAGCGGCAACAGCUCAAAUUUGAAAUCUGGCUCUUUCAGGGUCCGAGUUGUAAUUUGUAGAAGCAGCUUUGGGUGUGGUACCGGUCUAAGUUCCUUGGAACAGGACGUCAUAGAGGGUGAGAAUCCCGUACGUGACUGGUUGCCUUCGCCCGUGUAAAGCGCUUUCGACGAGUCGAGUUGUUUGGGAAUGCAGCUCAAAAUGGGUGGUAAAUUUCAUCUAAAGCUAAAUAUUGGCCAGAGACCGAUAGCGCACAAGUAGAGUGAUCGAAAGAUGAAAAGCACUUUGGAAAGAGAGUUAAACAGUACGUGAAAUUGUUGAAAGGGAAGCGCUUGCAACCAGACUUGCGCGCUGCUGAUCAUCCGAGCUUCUGCCCGGUGCACUCGGUAGCGUUCAGGCCAGCAUCGGUUUUGGUGGGCGGAUAAAGGCCUUGGGAAUGUAGCCUCUUUCGGGGAGUGUUAUAGCCCUCGGUGCAAUGCGCCCUACCGGGACCGAGGACCGCGCUUCGGCUAGGAUGCUGGCGUAAUGGUUGUAAGCGACCCGUCUUGAAACACGGACC